UACGUAGGGUGCAAGCGUUAAUCGGAAUUACUGGGCGUAAAGCGUGCGCAGGCGGAUUUGUAAGACAGGCGUGAAAUCCCCCGGCUCAACCUGGGAGUGGGGCUUGUGACUGCAAAGCUGGAGUGCGGCAGAGGGGGAUGGAAUUCCGCGUGUAGCAGUGAAAUGCGUAGAUAUGUGGAGGAAUACCGAUGGCGAAGGCAAUCCCCUGGGCCUGCACUGACGCUCAUGCACGAAAGCGUGGGGAGCAAACAGG
rnacentral:rRNA from 1 species